GGGGAACCAGGACUUUUACUUUGAAAAAAUUAGAGUGCUCCAGGCAGGCCUAUGCUCGAAUACAUUAGCAUGGAAUAAUAGAAUAGGACGUGUGGUUCUAUUUUGUUGGUUUCUAGGACCGCCGUAAUGAUUAAUAGGGACAGUCGGGGGCAUCAGUAUUCAAUUGUCAGAGGUGAAAUUCUUGGAUCUAUUGAAGACUAACUACUGCGAAAGCAUUUGCCAAGGAUGUUUUCAUUGAUAAGGAACGAAAGUUAGGGGAUCGAAGACGAUCAGAUACCGUCGUAGUCUUAACUAUAAACUAUGCCGACUAGGGAUCGGACGAUGUUAUCUUUUGACGCGUUCGGCACCUUUCGAGAAAUCAAAGUGCUUGGGCUCCAGGGGGAGUAUGGUCGCAAGGCUGAAACUUAAAGAAAUUGACGGAAGGGCACCACCAGGGGGUGGAACCUGCGGCUUAAUUUGACUCAACACGGGGAAACUCACCAGGUCCAGACACAGUGAGGAUUGACAGAUUGAGAGCUCUUUCUUGAUUCUGUGGGUGGUGGUGCAUGGCCGUUCUUAGUUGGUGGAGUGAUUUGCCUGCUUAAUUGCGAUAACGAACGAGACCU
rnacentral:rRNA from 1 species